CUGUCUGCAGUUUGAAGUGUGUUGACUCACUACAUUUAGUUUGAGACGAUUUGCAAGUUAUCCAGAACAAUUGUUUGGCUGUCGAGUCGCUUUUCUGAAGAUUUCACGUCGAUCUUUAGUAUCUUUGUCUUCCAGAGAUCGAUUCGUUCCUGUACUGAAGUAGAAGAGUCCUGCCUUCUCUUUGUCCUUGCCGCUGCCAUGGGGAAUUUUGCGUCACUUCUCCCAGAUGAAUCAGUAAUAGAGUGUAUUGACUUGGUGGAAGGUCAGUUCUAUGGCCUGGAAGGACCGCACAUGUUCUUGGGAUUUGAGGCGUUCCACCAGAGGACGGAGAGACACGUUGGACCGGCAAGAGAGGACGAGUCACUGGAGAGCCAGUCAUGAAGCCGGAAGACGUGGUCACUCAGCAGACCUAAAGCCAAGACUGGCCUGAGCUGGAUUUCCGGCAGAGACUGCCACAGUUCCCCUUCCCCAUUCCCUCCCUUGCAGAAGUUGGAAGUACUGGGCCUCAUCAAGGCGCAAGGGUGAACACCUUGUUCCAACCACAAGACACAUGUCAUGCUGAAACAGGAGCAGACUGUGUGGAGAGGUUUGAGCUGGGUGGCCAACACAGUACUACACUCACCAGUGUGAAGGAUGAAUGGAGAGUCUAUAGGCAA
rnacentral:lncRNA from 1 species